rnacentral:rRNA from 1 species
UUGCUUUCUUUGCUGGCGACCGGCGCACGGGUGAGUAACACGUAUCCAACCUGCCCUUUACUCGGGGAUAGUCUUUCGAAAGAAAGAUUAAUACCCGAUAGCAUAAUGAUUCCGCAUGGUUUCAUUAUUAAAGGAUUCCGGUAAAGGAUGGGGAUGCGUUCCAUUAGGUUGUUGGUGGGGUAACGGCCCACCAAGCCUUCGAUGGAUAGGGGUUCUGAGAGGAAGGUCCCCCACAUUGGAACUGAGACACGGUCCAA